rnacentral:tRNA from 1 species
AGGUCCGUAGCUCUAACGGCCAGAGCACCGGAUUCCAAAUCCGGGGGUUGCAGGUUCAAAUCCUGCCGGGCCUGCCA